UCUCAGAGCAGCAACAACCGGGAUGUGGGGUAACUGGUAAGACUAUACAUCUGGCACGGUGUGGAUUCAGGCCUAGUCUGUACAGGGCACUUAGCAUGGAACAGAACCAGCAGUCGGGAGGCAGGGAGAGACACUGUAACUGAUGAAGGGAAGACCACUGAAAGGUCAAGAAACCUGAGUAAUGAAAUAUCAAGUGUGGAAGAUCCUUUCUCGUUGUCUCCAAGGGAGGGUUGAGAGCAAGUCCCGGAUCCGCCUUGUGACAUACAGACUGGAAUCAAUCUCCCCAGUGGCCUGCAAGUUUAAAUCCGAAUAUACAAGAGGGGAAAGCGAAAUUGAGACA